rnacentral:rRNA from 1 species
UUCUGACCGUAAACUAUGCCAACUAGCGAUCCGCCGGUGGAUUUUUAGCCCUGGUGGGUAGCUUCCCGGAAACGAAAGUCUUCCGGUUCCGGGGGAAGUAUGGUUGCAAAGCUGAAACUUAAAGGAAUUGACGGAAGGGCACCACCAGGAGUGGAGCCUGCGGCUUAAUUUGACUCAACACGGGGAAACUCACCCGGCCCGGACACCGUAAGGAUUGACAGAUUGAAAGCUCUUUCAUGAUUCGGUGGUUGGUGGUGCAUGGCCGUUCUUAGUUCGUGGAUCGAUUUGUCUGGUUUAUUCCGAUAACGAGCGAGACUCUAGCCUACUAAAUAGUUGCGGGAUUAUUCAUUGUCCCAGUAGCUUCUUAGAGGGAUUUUCGGUGUUUAGCCGCACGAGAUUGAGCAAUAACAGGUCUGUGAUGCCCUUAGAUGUCCGGGGCUGCACGCGCGCUACACUGGCGAAAUCAGCGUGCUUUAACCAUUCUCGAAAGGGAUUGGUAAACCCAUGAAAAUUUGCCGUGCUUGGGAUCGGAAAUUGCAAUUAUUUUCCGUGAACGAGGAAUUCCAAGUAAGUGCGAGUCAUCAACUCGCUCUG